ACUCAAAUGAAUUGACGGGGGCCCGCACAAGCGGUGGAACAUGUGGUUUAAUUCGACACUACGCGAGGAACCUUACCUGGACUUGACAUGUACCUGACACCCGUGGAAACACGGUCUUCUAGGCUUCGGUUUAGACGAGUACACAGGUGCUGCAUGGCUGUCGUCAGCUCGUGUCGUGAGAUGUUGGGUUAAGUCCUUUAACGAGCGCAACCCCUGCUAUCAGUUGCCACUUGCGUAAGCAAAGCACUCUGAUGGGACUGCCUGGGAAACCAGGAGGAAGGUGGGGAUGACGUCAAGUCAUCAUGGUCCUUAUGUCCAGGGCUACACACGUGUUACAAUGGCUAGUACAAAGAGCUGCGAAUCUGUAAGGACAAGCUAAUCUCAAAAAACUAGUCUAAGUUCGGAUUGAGGUCUGCAACUCGACCUCAUGAAGUUGAAAUCGCUAGUAAUCGCAUAUCAGAACGAUGCGGUGAAUACGUUCUCGGGCCUUGUACACACCGCCCGU
rnacentral:rRNA from 1 species